rnacentral:rRNA from 1 species
AACGAACGCUGGCGGCAUGCCUAACACAUGCAAGUCGAACGAAGGCUUCGGCCUUAGUGGCGCACGGGUGCGUAACGCGUGGGAAUCUGCCCUUUGGUUCGGAAUAACAUCUGGAAACGGCUUCUCAUACCGGAUGAUUACGAAAGUCCAAAGAUUUAUCGCCAGAGGAUGAGCCCGCGUUUGAUUCGGUAGUUGGUGGGGUAAAGGCCUACCAAGCCGACGAUCCAUAGCUGGUCUGAGAGGAUGAUCAGCCACACUGGGACUGAGACACGGCCCAGACUACUACGGGAUGCAGGAGUGGGGAAUAUAGGACAACGGGGUCAAGCAUGAUGCAGCAAGGGCGGGUGAGUGAUGAAGGCGCGAGGGUAGUAAAGAUAUUUUACCCGGGAAGAUAAUGACUGUACCGGGAGAAGAAGCCCCGGCUAACUCCGUG